GGUUUGUGGCUCAGUGUAGAGCGCUUGCCUUCCAUGCAUAAGGCACUGGGUUCGAUCCUCAGCACCA
rnacentral:tRNA from 1 species